rnacentral:rRNA from 1 species
GGGUCAGUAGGUUGGUCGUGCCACCGGUACGUACUGGUCUCACUGAUUCCUCCUUCCUGAAGAACCGUAAUGCCAUUAAUUUGGUGUUGCGGGGAAACAGGACUGUUACUUUGAAAAAGUUAGAGUGUUUAAAGCAAGCUAACGCUUGAAUGCAUUAGCAUGGAAUAAUGAAAUAGGACGAUCGAUCCUAUUUUGUUGGUUUCUAGGAUUGACGUA